GUCCUUCAUGUGGCUGUGCAGAGAUUGUGGUUCCUCUCACACAUCCAGAUCAAAUCCAGCACUCUUUAUAGAGCAAGAGGUAUCUGUGAAAUUCAGUUGGAUUACAACAAUCCCUUUGGUCUCCAAAUAUAUGGGUCAGCUUGAUCAUUUCUCAAACCAAAGAAAGGAGCAGCAGCAGCACAGAAGAUCACAAACAUCCUGUCAGUUAUGGCUCAGAAUGUCUCCAUCGGCAAAAAAUGUGAAUGCAUCCUGAAAGCCCUGGCUGUCUGCCUGAAGGAAGACCCCUCAAACCUUGUGAAGGAGUACAUGAAUGUUGAACAUGCUGAAGCCCUAACCUCAACGCGCAACACCACGCUGGGAAUCUAUGUCAUCAUACAGAUGCUACAGACCUUUACGAAUAAUGUUGUACUGUUGGCUGUUGCAGUACAUUUGUUUUUCGGUACUGAACAUGUUACAUUCCUUUCAACGUUGGUCUUGCUUUGAAUAAUUGAUGCAUUUUCAUUACAAAAGAAGACUAUUUUGUAAAUCCUACCUAAAAUCCAUGCUUUUAUUUUUUAUUAGUAUGCUUUUUUACACUUUUCUUGUAAUAAGAUAAGAUAACUGAUUAAAAAAGUGAA